rnacentral:rRNA from 1 species
GAGACAGCAGCCGCCGCGGGAAUACAGAGGGUGCGAGCGUUAAUCGGAUUUACUGGGCGUAAAGCGUGCGUAGGCGGCUUCUUAAGUCGGAUGUGAAAUCCCUGAGCUUAACUUAGGAAUUGCAUUCGAUACUGGGAAGCUAGAGUAUGGGAGAGGAUGGUAGAAUUCCAGGUGUAGCGGUGAAAUGCGUAGAGAUCUGGAGGAAUACCGAUGGCGAAGGCAGCCAUCUGGCCUAAUACUGACGCUGAGGUACGAAAGCAUGGGGAGCAAACAGGAUUAGAUACCCCUGUAGUCCCUGUCUCUUAUAC